rnacentral:rRNA from 1 species
CUGCGGAAGGAUCAUUACUAGAGCAAAGGAUAGACAGCGCCCGCGGAGCUCGCUCCCGGGGCUACCCUACUCCCGUAGGGUUUAGAGUCGUCGGGCCUCUCGGAGAAGCUCGGUCCUGAACUCCACCCUUGAAUAAACUACCUUUGUUGCUUUGGCGGGCCGCCUCGUGCCAGCGGCUUCGGCUGUUGAGUGCCCGCCAGAGGACCCCAACUCUUGUUUUUAGUGAUGUCUGAGUACUAUAUAAUAGUUAAAACUUUCAACAACGGAUCUCUUGGUUCUGGCAUCGAUGAAGAACGCAGCGAAAUGCGAUAAGUAAUGUGAAUUGCAGAAUUCAGUGAAUCAUCGAAUCUUUGAACGCACAUUGCGCCCUCUGGUAUUCCGGGGGGCAUGCCUGUUCGAGCGUCAUUAUAACCACUCAAGCUCUCGCUUGGUAUUGGGGUUCGCGGUUUCGCGGCCCCUAAAAUCAGUGGCGGUGCCUGUCGGCUCUACGCGUAGUAAUACUCCUCGCGAUUGAGUCCGGUAGGUCUACUUGCCAGCAACCCCUAAUUUUUUUAAGGUUGACCU